GGGCAACCGGCGCUCUGGAGCGUUCCGUGUGGAAGCCGUCACUUAGCUUUCCUCGUGUCGUUCCGAAACCCGACGUUGUAGUGCCUGUGCACCCGCCUCUCCACAGGUUACUGUGCCUUGCUCCUGAAGCACGUCUCUGAGGGCACCUCGUGCUGUCAGACCUCAAACACCAACCGAUUUUUCUUCAGGGUGUAUUACUGAGGCUUCAGUUGUUAUAAAUAACACGGGUACCCAUCUGCUCUGUAUUUUUCGUGUUCUGCUCUGCUUAUGAGAUCUUAAAAAAGCACUAGUUGCUAUGCUAGGCCUGAAGUGGUGCAGAGAAGUGAGUUGUGCUGGAGUGGUGCUGAGGCCACGGCAAGGCACUGCUUUCAGAUGACAUAAAAAUCCUACUUGUGCCUAAUUAGAGCCUCAGCCCUCGAACCUGGUCAGGAGGGUGGCCUCUCCAGCCUUUCCUCACAUACUGUACUCAUGGACAUCAGCCCCUCUUCAGUCAGCGACUGCUGGAAGGCUCUGGAACCUGGGGCAGGUGCUUGGCAGAGGGAAGUGGAGUAGGAUGGGGCCAGUUCUCUGCAGUGCCCUCCGCAGCCAAGCAGCCAUGCCUGGAGCGUGUCUGGGAUGAGUAUGCAACAAUCCCUGUGCUAUUCAAUACACAAUGAACAUCUGAGCUGAAUUAAUUUUCUUGUGUCUGUAUUGUAAUUCUCUGGAGAGAGAACAACAAUACGCUGACGAGGAAGAAUCAGACCACAUGUGCUGUGAGCAAUCCUGGGUUUUCCUCUCAGCAGCUGUUGUGGGUCCUCCUGCCAGCCUGCCACGAGAGGGAGCUUUUGCUUGUUAAAUAAUUUUGCUCUCUCCUGUAUGGGCCCUUACUUAACAAGUUAUACCACAAAAGAGAAUAAUAAGAAGAACAAAAUACAUUAAUUUCUCAUCUGAAAUUGUGUUUUAGUAAUUAAAUAAAUAUCAGGAGGU
rnacentral:lncRNA from 7 species